AUCUACUGCCAUGCCACCCUGAACAAGCACGAUCCUGUCUGAUCUCUGAAGCUAAACAGAGUCGGGCCUAGUUAGUACUUGGAUGGGAGACCACCUAGGAAGACCAGGUGCUGUAGGCA
rnacentral:rRNA from 1 species